GAUUUCUGGCUUGACGCGCUUGGCCCGCCGCGGUUACGCGUGUGAGUGCUGAUGCGCGUUUGCCAUCCUUUCAGAAAACGGCGUCUCCCUUCAUUGGGUUGGCGUCGCGAUCUGAAUCUAUUACUUUGAAAAAAUUAGAGUGUUUCAAGCAGGCUUUAUGCUAUGAAUACAUUAGCAUGGAAUAAUAAUUUAGGACUUCGGUUCUAUUUUGUUGGUUUCUAGGACUGAAGUAAUGAUUGAUAGGGAUAGUUGGGGGUGCUAGUAUUCAGCGGCCAGAGGUGAAAUUCUCGGAUUCGCUGAAGACUAACUUAUGCGAAAGCAUU
rnacentral:rRNA from 1 species